rnacentral:rRNA from 1 species
GAUGAACGCUGGCGGCGCGCCUAACACAUGCAAGUCGAACGAUUAAAGCACCUUCGGGUGUGUAUAAAGUGGCGAACGGCUGAGUAACACGUGGGCAACCUGCCCCUCUCAUUGGGAUAGCCACGGGAAACCGUGGAUAAUACCGAAUACUUCGGGACUUCCGCAUGGAAGACUCGAGAAAGCUCCGGCGGAGAGGGAUGGGCCCGCGGCCUGUUAGCUUGUUGGUGGGGUAAUGGCCUACCAAGGCAAUGAUGGGUAGCUGGGUUGAGAGACCGACCAGCCAGAUUGGGACUGAGACACGGCCCAGACUCCUACGGGAGGCAGCAGUGGGGAAUCUUGCACAAUGGGCGAAAGCCUGAUGCAGCGACGCCGCGUGCGGGAUGAAGGCCUUCGGGUUGUAAACCGCUUUCAGCAGGGACGAGGCGAAAGUGACGGUACCUGCAGAAGAAGCCCCGGCUAACUACGUGC